AUGAACGCUAGCGGCAGGCUAUACAUGCAAGUCGUGGGGCAGCAUGAGUAGCAAUACUUGAUGGCGACCGGCAAACGGGUGAGGAACACGUACACAGCCUUCCUUCAAGCGGGGAAUAGCCCAGAGAAAUUUGGAUUAAUACCCCAUAAUAUAUUUGAUAAGGCAUCUUAUUAAUAUUAAAGCUUCGGCACUUGAUGAUGGGUGUGCGGCUGAUUAGAUAGUUGGCGGGUAACGGCCCACCAAGUCUACGAUCAGUAGCUGAUGUGAGAGCAUGGUCAGCCACACGGGCACUGAGACACGGGCCCGACUCCUACGGGAGGCAGCAGUAAGGAAUAUUGGACAAUGGACGAAAGUCUGAUCCAGCCAUGCCGCGUGAAGGAUUAAGGUCCUCUGGAUUGUAAACUUCUUUUAUAUGGGACGAAAAAAGGGCAUUCUUGUUCACUUGACGGUACCAUAUGAAUAAGCACCGGCUAACUCCGUG
rnacentral:rRNA from 1 species